rnacentral:lncRNA from 1 species
UGGGCGAUGCAAAUGGGGCAAGAGAGAUAUUUGAGCAAAUGGGAGCACGAAAUUUGGAUUCUUGGAACAAGAUGCUGUCGGGUCUGACACAGAAUUACGAAGGAGAAAUGCUCUUGAAAUCUUUUCCCAGAUGGAAGAAGAUGAGAUUAGGCCAUAUGGGUCUAGCUUUGUUGUUAUUUUAAUGGCUUGCAUGUGCUUAGGGGCAGAGAAGGAAUGACAUAAACAUUUUGAGUCAAUGAGCAGGGGUUACGGGAUCAUUCUCGCAGAAGAGCAUUAUGAAGCUAUGGUUGAUCUUCUUGGAAGAUCAGGAAAGAUAGCGGAGUGCAAAGGAGUUAGUUGCAAAUACACCAAUUGACUCAAAGUCAAACACCAGAGUUUGGGAGACUCUACAGAAGCACUCGAAAGCCAGAACACAAGGGCAACUGGGUUAUUCUGUAUCACGAUAAGGGCAAAGGACAGCUUUAAAAUAAAUUAUAAAAGAGCGACUUCGGACGGGAUCAAGGCAUAUGAAAAGUUGAGGUCUUUGAGUAAAGAGGUAAAGGAUGCUGGAUAUUUGCCGGACACAAGGUUUGUGUUUCAUGAUCUUGACCAAGAGGCGAAGGAGAGAAGUCCUUGUUCUACCACAUUGAAAGGAUAGCCAUUGCUUAUGGCUUAUCAAUACUCCUCCUGGGACCUCUUUAUGGAUAAUGAAAAACCCAAGGAUUUGCGGGGACUGUCAUAAUUUCAUCAAGAUUCCAAAAUGGAGGACGGGUAGAUUAUUGUGAGAGACGAUAAGAGGUUGCAUCAUUUCAAGGCUGGUAACUGCUCCCAAAUCUUCAAACUUUUCCCAGAGCCUAAAUAUUUAUUCUCUAUGAUUUUAGGGAUAAAGAAGCAUAAUUUUGCUUCAAAUUGGUUCAUUACAUGCUCUAUUGACUCAAAUAGAGACCCUGCUUGUAUUUCAUAAGCCAUUCAUGAUCUUGACAUGGGUGACGACAACAACUUGGGGUUUUCUUUGUCUUGAGGCCACAAGUUCAGUUCUAUUCCAGACACUGUUCAAGUUACAAUUUAUAACGCAAAAAAAAUAAAAAAUUAUUAUGAUUAGAAUAGAAUAUUUGCAUCUCUAUCAACUUGCUCUCACCCCGCUCCCGUCAACCACAAACUGCUGUGCUCCUGCACGUCUUUCACCCGCAAUCUCAUGGCAUUAACUUGUCUCAUGAUCCCAUCCACUUUAAACAUCCUGCUGGCUUGUUUUGUCUUCAGUUCUCGUCCUACUUUACAACGUCAAUCAUUAGACCGCAUAGAUCAUUUCUUUACUGAUUGUUUUGAGAAAAAUUCAGAGCAUUUGCUAGUUGAAUUUGAAGGAGGUGAUACUUUUAGAUGCAACGCUUCUUAAUAAUUGUACCUGAUUUUGUUUCUUUCCUUUUCCAAUAAGAGAAAAAUCAUACACCAAACAGAUUCUAAAUUCUGCAAAAGUUGAAUUAAUCAACAACAGACUUAAUUAUCAAAGUUCUGAGUGACAGGAGAAAUCAAUUUUUUUGCCCUCUCUUUGCACUGUUUGCUCUUGUGCUCUCUUUCCUUUAGCUUUAGGUUUCUUUGUUGCAAAGAAAAUUUCACUGUAGCUGAGAAAAUGUUUGAGUAAGUUUCUACUUUUUAGGCCUUGAUUGGGAGUAUAUCUUUUCGAGGUAUUGUUAUUGACAUAAUGGAAGGCAAGUUGCACUAAUAUUGUUUACACAUUGACAGAUUAAAUACAGAGAAUACAAUCCUUGGAAACAAUUUUCUUUCCGUUUUGGUUUUAAUUCAUAUCUACAAUUCUACAAAUAAAUACUCUAUCCUUAUCUUUCUUUUUAAUAUUUUGUGUUCAUGUUUUUAUUAUCUUGCAAAUAUGUUUAAUUGUUUUUACUAAUAAUUUCCCAACAACCUUGAGGUCAAAUGAACUUACAUGUUUAAUUGUUUAGUUUAAUAUUUCGUUGUUGUUUAAUUUAUAAAUUUAAAACUACAAUUUUUUUGUUAUUUAUAAUUUUUAUUUGCAUGUUCUAAGCCAAAUUUUUUAGAAAGAUAUAUAUUUGACUGUUGUUUUUUUAUCAAAAAUAAUUAUAAUUUCUACUUAAAAGAUAAUUGUUCUUGCAACUGUUGCUAUAACAAGUAUUAUUCUAGUAAGAAGGAUUUCAUCAUCAUUUUAUGUUGUGUAUGGUAAGAAACUUUAAAAGUUUAAUAUAAUUUGAAAUUUAAAAAAUGAUAAUAAAAAAUAUUAUUUUAUGUGACAUCUUGAACUUGAUAAAAUUCUUUAACUAAAGAUACCCCUAAGCUAUUUGAUGAUGAAUUUGAUUUCACUACUAUGGCAGCCAUGGACACAUGAAAUCAUAGUAAUUCAAGUGCAAGAACUAUAUUUUAAAUGAUAUGGAUAACAAAGUGUGUUUAUAUAUAGAGUUUCACCAAAAGUGCAGGGUUAAAGAUAUAAUUUUAAGUAAAAUUUUUGUUACCUUACAAAAACAUGUUAUAUUUUGAUUCUGCUUCAUAUUGUUGUAAUUAAGGUAACAAAUAAGUAAAUAUUGAAUAUAACAUAAAUUAUAUAAAUGUAUUUAAGUAAUAAUAAAAUAAUUUAUUAUUCUAUAUGAAUUAGAGAAAAUAUUUUAAUAUAAUCUCAAAUAAUAUUAAUUAUAAAUCCCUACAAAAAGUAAAAUGAAAUUUAAAAAGAAUUUCAAAUAUUAUUUAAAAAACAAUUCACUAUAGUAUUGAAAAACAAAACAUAAUUUAAUAUAGUAAAUAUACUUAAUGCUAUAAUAUUUAAAUUAGAACAUUGAUGAUGAAAGGACAAUAAUUAUAUUGAAAAAUUAAUAACUAAAAAUCUAAGUCGUACCAUUUAUGAUUUUUCUAAUAUUAAAAAAUCAUAACAGAUGAUUAUUAGAUAUUAUGUUUGAUCUUCAAAUAUAAAUUAAUUAAUUAUUAAAUAAAUAAUAAAUUAAUUUAUUUUAUUUAUUUAUGAUAUAUGAUUUAUAGUUAAAUCAAUUUAUUAGAGAAUCUAAUGGUUUAUACAUAAUUCUGAACAUAUUUUAUAUUAUAGUUUUUGUUUGUUUCCUUUUCCAACGAGUGAAAAAUUAUACACUUAACUAGAUCACCAAAAAAUGUAUUAAAAGAACAGACGUAAUCGAAAAAGUUCCGAGUAACAGGUGAAAUCCUAUAGCCAAAACAACAAUGUUCUUGGCGUUAAGAAGAGGUAAGACGACAUUGUUCACAGGGGUAAUCUAUGAAACCAUCACCCAUAUCAGAUUCUUGGCAGAGAAUCGGUUGGCUGAUCAGUUCUCAGUUAUCAAACUGCUUAUCAAUUCUCAGGACUCGUAUUAAUUGGGACAAUCUUUCUUUUCCAUCUCUAUGACCAGCUGGAGCCACUGAAGUUCCUUCCAGGUUUGGUGAGGUGGAUGAACCUGCCUUCAGAUCAUCAAGCUGCAAAAAAAAAAAAGAGGAAAAAAAAAAGGAGUAAGCUCCUGGAUUACAUUCUGGAGGAUUUUAUUUUUUUUCCUUUUCUUUUUGUAAUGAGAAAGAAUAGAUAAGUUAUCAAACAUAAGAAAUCACCUUGAAUUGCAGCUUACUUAAAAUUUUAAUCAGCAUGCUCCUUUCAUUUGUCUUUUUCUGAAUAGAAGGAUCAAUUUGUGUGACUGAAGACGAUUCCGAAUCAGAGGAAGUUUGUGUUUCUACAGAUUUGGAUGAGCUCUGUGUUUCAGAUAUUAGCCGCUUCAGUUGAGUCUGAUAGGAUGACAGAGCCUUCUCGCCAUAUUCAAUGGCUUUAAUCUUGUCGCUACCCUCAAGGCAGAUGCAUAUUUUGACAUUUCUGAAUCCUGAUGUACGGAUGUGUGUAAUAAUUUGUAGUGCAGGUUUGGAAUUGGAAAUAGACGUAAACAGUAGUGAUAAGACAGGGUAUGGGUUUUUCAAACUAUGAGAUCCAACACCAGACCAGUAAUGGAUACAUAUGGACUAUUCGCUGUUUAUGAAUUUCUCCUUCCAAACUCUCAAAAAAGGAUGAUGCUUGGAUAUAAUAACGCUCAGGAUUUGGUUCCCCUACAAAAUGCAGCAUAGACAAUGAGAUACAGCCAACAUGUUCUUUUGCAAGGAAGAUAAAAGAUUUAUGUGUAACUUCUUGUUAAAAGCAGGAGAAACGAGCCAACCCCUUCUCAAUGCAACCUCUCCAAGGGCGCAGAGUGUAUUAGCUUUCUCUUUUAAGCAGUUUGAUUCAUUUUCCAGAAUAGACCAUGCAAUCUUUAGUUCUUUCUGUGCAGCUUCCAUCUGAUUUGCAUAGUCCUCUUGGCUAACAGUACCUUCCACCAUGAAAGGAGAUAAAAUUAAGGAAUAAGUGGUUCCAGGCACAGUAUACAUAAUCAGAGAAGUUGCCCUGUUGUUUCAAUGAAAAGAAUCUGACAUGAGCUUUCAUAGCAACAAUAGGAUUGUAAGCAUUAUGUGAUUCUAACAGAGAUUCAAUGUGGGAAUUUUGCAACAUGCGUGGACUCUUAUCCUUUUCUGUCAAGUCACAAUCAAUUGCUAAAAGCCUCAAGCAAUUAGCCCUUUUGUGGUUAUUUAUCAAUUUUAUACAUGGCGAGGUCGUCCUCCAUGUAAUGAAGGAAUUGUUAUCGGCGACCAUAUACUUCAGCAACCCGAAAAAGGAGAAUACCUAAACGUCAUGUUAGACAAUAAGAGUUCAUGAAGACAGAGAUCACCAAAACAAAUAGAGUUGAGUAAAAAAAAAUGUUAGUAUUUUUUACAAGGAGGGGAAUUACUAACCGCUGUAUAACUUGCAAUAAGAACUAUAAGGUCUAUCCUUAGCAAGAUAGUAAUCAGCUUCCCUCGGUAAAAAUUCCAACGGAUCAUCAUCUCCCUGAAAUGAAAUUUCGUACAGCAAGGAAACACCAUUAAAUGGUGCAAAAGGGAGCGUUCCAAAGUACGUUCACCUUGGAGUUGAACGCUGAAUAAACACAAAUUAGUUCGUGAGACGAUUUUCGAUUACACAAACACGAAAAAGAAUUAUGGAUACCCAAAUUUUAGAACACUAUACAGUACAAGAAUGAGGCUAUUCUCUUUAAAAUUCUUUCCCAGGAUUGUGAUCUUGCAUAAAACUCAAUGAAAUAUUGAGGAAACAGUGCACAUCAAAGACCAAAAGCACUUCAAUCCUAGAUAUCGGUUUAACAUUAGUAAAAUCAAAGGUUUGUAUUCAGAAGAAUCCUUCUUUUCUAUACAAGACUACAGUAAUUCCAGCCCAAUCAUUUUAACCAAAACAAGAAGUUUGGAUUAGCAGAAAACUUACGGACAAGAAGCACAAAAACCCAGAAUCUAAAACACGCUUUCUCAGCAAACAAACAACAAGAAAACAAGUACAACUAGGAAACCAGGCAAUGAACAACAAAAGGCAUAUCAAAAAGGCAUAAAGAAACCUAAAAGAGUAACAAGAAACACAAACAAAAGAAAUCUCACCUGGCAUCACAAGCCUUCUUGAAGUAUCUAGCAGCUUUAUCAAAGUGGGCAUUUUGUAAGGCGGAUGAUCCACGAUUGAUGACAGAGAUAAGCCUAGCCGUAGCGUCAGGGAUAUCAUCCAUUCUUGAAGUAAAGAAGAUGAAAUAAAGAAACCAGUAAUAGAGAGAGAGAGAGAGAGAGCAGAGAAUUUGGAAUGCAAAGAGAAAGUAUUGGAGAAUUCGGAGCGGAGAGAGAUACAGGGAGAGAAUUAGGAAUUGGGGUAAUUAGUUUAUGGUGGUGGUCUUAUACUUUGGGCGGGAAGAGCCAGGGCAGCAGCCAAGAACAUUGCUCCCUGAGGAGAGCAUGAUUAGCAUAGUAGUCGUUAUUCAAUUGUAAGAAUCCAGUUAAACACGCAUCCUUAAAUUCCCCCACGACCCAAACAAAAAAUAUGACGCCAAUAACGGGCUAACUAUGCAAGUUGAUGUUAGUGCUUCAUAAAUUUGCCAAUUCUGGGUGUGCCUUUGGAUGUCAAGAGGAGCAAGGAGUUGUUUAAGCAUAUUUUAGAGAACAUUCAUUGUCGACUAGCUGGUUGGAAGUCUAAACUGCUGAGUAAGGCGGGUAGAACUUAGAAGCACUCCAUGCUGGGAAAAAAUUGUUAAAACAUUGUCAAUGAGGCAUUUUUCAUGCCAAAUUAAAACUACAGUUUAUUUACUUUUAGUAAUUUAAUUUUCAACAUAAACUUUUUAACUUUAAAUAUUAAUAUAAUUAAAAUAAAUUAUAAAUAAAUAAAAAAUUGACCUGAAAUUUUUUUUAGUUAUCAUGUUUUAAAAAAACCACAAAUCCUCUAAAAACUCAUAUUUCAUAUAGAAAAGAAACAAAUUUUACUUGUUAUUUAUACAGUGCAAAGGUGAGAAAUUAAAAUUGAGCACAAAAAAACAUCAAAACAUUUUAAAAAAUUACAUUUAAGCAAAAUAAGUUUUGGAUUUAAACCUACAGGUGUUUAUGCUAUAAGAAAUAUUUUUUUUCCAAUAAUCCAUGAAGAUUUUUUAUUUUUUUUCUAAUCCAUUGUCUUGUCCAAUUAAGUCUAUCAAUUUCUUCAGUUUUUUCCAGAACUGUUUCUUUAUAUCCUUGAUGAUUUUUUGGAUAGUUUUUCUAGCUCUUUAAAAUCAAAAUUGCUAGGUUUCAUUCUGGUUUUGUGAUGGAUAAUUAAAGUAGAUAAUGAAAUAAAUUUAUUCUAGUAAUUAUUAAAAUUAAUUCUUAUCAAUUUUAAUUCCAAGACUCACUAUAAAAAACAAGUUGUAGAAAGAGUUUUCUGCACAUUUUUUUCAUGAUUAUCGUAGAUUUCCUCACCUCAUAUUUUUAGUUGUUAUCCUAUGUUGUUUAAAGCUUUGGUUUUCCUUCAAAAAAAAAAAAACACUUAAGCUUUUACAGGGAAAGAGAUCUAAAUAAAAUAAUUUAUGGAUCUAAAUUCAUUUGCAUGUGUUUGGGCUAUAAAAAAUUAUAUUUUACCAACUAUCUAUGAAAAAUUAUUUUUUCUAGCUCAUUAUCUUGUCCAGCUUGUAAAUUAAAUUUAAUUAAUUUCUUCAUUUUUUUUUUCAAAAUUAACUCUUCAUAGAUUUUUGGACAAUUUUUUCCAACUCGUUAAAACCAAAAUUGUCAAGUUUAAUUCUCAUAUUAUAACAAAUAAUCAAAAUUGAUAAUGAAAAAAAUUUAUUAUGAUAUUUAUUAAAAUUAAUUUUUUAUUGGUUUUGGUUUCAAAAUUUACUAUACAAAAAGAGGUGUAGAAAAAUAAGUUUUAUGCACUAUUUUCCAUGUUUCCAUACUUUUCCUCACCUCAAAUUUUUAUAUUCAUCCUUUUAAUUUUAAUCUUUCUCUCAAUCUAGAGCAUAUGUUUGUUUAUUUAUUUAUUUUUAUAGAUUUUAUUUAAAAGUGUAUCUGAAUAAUUUGGGGUUAUUGAAAUCUUGAAAGACUUAUUACAAAACAUUUUUUUAUACAAAGUGAAGAGCAACAAAAUUUUAAAGACUCAUUCAUCCUACUAGUUUAAAGUUCUUAUUAGAUAAAAAAAUUCACCUUUCCAUCCCAGCAUCUAUGGCUAACUAAACUAUAUAUUAGGUUUUAACUAUGAAAUUAAAUAAAGGGCAAAGACAAUGUUGCAGGUGUUGCUCUUUCAAGGAUUCCUAUUAGUGAACUAUAUGCACUAGCAGCCUCAACCAUCUCUACUGCUAUUAUGGAUGAGGUAAGGAAGACUUGGAGGAGUGAUAUUGCCAUCCAAACUUUUCUUCAAGAUAUACUCAUUAAUCCAAUCUCACACCAUCGUUACUCCUAGGUUAACAAUGUGUUGAGUCAAAAAGGAAAAUUUAUGGUAGGUAAUGACUCUUCCCUGCAAAAUAAGAUAAUUGCUCUAUACCAUGAUUUUGCAUUAGAGGAUCACUCAGGAGCUACAGUUACUGCUAAAAGGACAGGCAACUUAUUCUUUUGGACAAAACAACAAAAACAUAUCGGGCAGUAUGUCGGGGCUGCUACAAUCCUCAUCAACCAUUCCUUAGGCACCCUUCAUAUAUAUAUAUAUAUAUAUCAAAUGGAAAGGAAGUUAUCCUAAUGGUGGUAGAUCCAUUUAGUACCCUCUAUCAAAUGGACAAACUAAGGUUGUCAACAGGUGCUUGAAACCUACCUCAGGUGUAUAUCAAUGGUAAAGAUGGCUGCUAUUAGCAAGAGUAGUGGUACAACACCAACUAUCAUGCUUCCACUAAAUCUACUCCCUAUGAUAUCUUCUACAAGUUUGUUCCUCCAAUACGUAUUCCCUAUUUUCAUAGAGACUCGCCUAUUGAAGUUGUAAAUGACUACUUGACAGAGAGAGAGAGAGAGAACACAAGCUCAAGGUAAUCAGAGACAAUUUACUAGCAGCUCAAGAUAGAAUAACCCAAUUGGCUACUAAGAAGAGAGGUGAUCAGAGGGUAUUCAACAUUGGUGACUUUGUCUACAUUAAACUACACCCAUACAGACAGAAGACAGUAGCUAACAAAGUUCACUAAAACUGGCAUCUAAAUACGAUGGACCUCACCAAAUUCAGAAGAGAAUUGGCGCGGUGGCUUACAAGUUGAUAUCACCUCCCUCUGCGACCAUUCAUCUAGUUUUUCAUGUCUCGCAGUUGAAGAAGCGAGUAGGAAACAAAAUGGUGCACGCCAGUUUACCUGAUUUCCCCGGGGAACCAACUCUCCAGCCACAAGCUAUCUUAGAACGAAGAAUGGUGAAAAAGAAUCAUCAGGCAGUCACUCAGUUGUUGAUUCUCUAGAAAGGACUGCCUUCAACAGAAGCCACUAGGGAGGUACUCGAAGAAUUGGCAUUGAGGUUUCCUAAUUUCACCCUUGAGAACAAGGACACUCUCUAAAGGAAGGGGCAUUGUCACGGGCUCAGCCUUAAAAGUAAGGAUCAAUUCCAG